rnacentral:rRNA from 1 species
AGAGUUGAUCAGUGGCGUCAGAACGAACGCUGGCGGCGCGUCUUAAGCAUGCAAGUCGAACGGCAAGAGGUAAGCAAUACCUCCUAGAGUGGCGGACUGGUGAGUAACACGUGGGUGACAUACCCUCAGAUGGGGAUAGCUAUUAGAAAUAGUAGAUAAUACCGAAUACGAGCACAGGGGUUAGAGAUCUGUGAGGAAAGGAGCUAAGGCUCCGCUGAAGGAAUGGCCUGCGGCCCAUUAGCUAGUUGGUGAGGUAAGAGCCCACCAAGGCGAUGAUGGGUAUCCGGCCUUAGAGGGUGAACGGACACAUUGGGACUGAGAUACGGCCCAGACUCCUACGGGAGGCAGCAGCUAAGAAUAUUCCGCAAUGGACGAAAGUCUGACGGAGCGACGCCGCGUGGAUGAAGAAGGCCGGAAGGUUGUAAAAUCCUUUUGAAACUGAAGAAUAAGCGUUGUAGGGAAUGACAGCGUGGUGACAGUAGGUUUUGAAUAAGCAACGGCUAAUUACGUGCCAGCCGCCGC